rnacentral:piRNA from 1 species
UAGACGCAGUCAUCUGACUGGAUGAAGAAU